rnacentral:lncRNA from 1 species
GCAGUCAUUAAAGAAUGUUAGCCAGGUGCAGUGGUGCACGCCUUUAAUCCCAGCACUUUGGGAGGUGGAGGUGGGUGGAUCGCCUGAGGUCAGGAGUUUGAGACCAACCUAGCCAACAUUGUGAAACCCUGUCUCUACGAAAACUACAAAAAUUAGCCAGGUGUGGUGGCACGCAUGCCUGUAAUCCCAGCUACUUGGGAGGCUGAGGCAGGAGAAUCGCUUGAACCCGGGAGGCAGAGGUUGUAGUGAGCCGAGAUCACACCACUGCACUCCAGCCUGGGCGAUAGAGUGAGACUCCGUCUCAAAAAAAAAAAAAAGAAUGUCAACUGCUCCUGGCUCUGCAGAGGUAUGGCCCAGGUGACAGGGCUAUUGAGAGGCCAAAGGGACCCUGAUCAGCCAGUGGUGUCUUUGGAAUAGGUGCUGCAAGCUCUGGGAGGUGCUACUGCGCACCAGAAGGUUGGUGAGUUGGCCAAGGGUGUGGAGCUGGCUCCAGAGGGGAAGGAACAAAGGGAAGGGACCCUCUGGGAGCUGGAGAGACUUGGGAGCCUGGAGGCAGGAAUUCCCUGCCAUUGCCUGAGGCCUGGUUUGGAAAGUACAAUGCAGUUUUGGCAUGGUGGUUGCUGGCCUGGAAUGUGGUGGGGUGAAGAGCGUGGUGGAAGGACACACUGAGUUCCUGACCAUCCAGCAACAAAGGAGCAAAAAGACCUUGGAAUCCAUGAGAAGUUUGAAGGUCCUGAUUUUCACGCCAUGAUUGGAGAUUCCUGUGAUGUAUGUGCUGGGCAGAGAGGCCAGGCCCUGAAGGCCAUCCUGUUCCAGGCAUCCUUUCUGUAUAGGAAGUCUGAGGGUUACGUUAGAUAAGGAAUGGGAAGCCACUGCAGUUCUCCACCCAAGGCCUUUGGCUCAAUACCAGCUUCCAGAUCCUCAGGAGAAAACCCCCCUUUUCUUGAAGUCACUUGUUAUGAUGACAAAUAUUGCUAUGAACAUCCAUCUACCAGUUUUUGUAUGGAGAGCCAUGAGGUCACUGUGCUCAACUUCACCUAUUAUUAUGGCAAGCAAGAUGCUCUGAAAGAAGAACAUUUUUCAUCUCAAAAGUAAAUGAACGGCUUAUGAGUUCAUAUUGGUAAUAUUACCCAAAACGGCUAUGGAAGCAAAUGACUACAUUAGUAGCAAAACACAAAAGAAGUUACGUAAAUGUUCACAAAACACUUUGUGGGAAAUUCACGCCCUUCCCACAGCAGUUAUUUGCCUGCCUUUGAUCUUCAGGGUUCUCAGGCUCCAUGGCCUGUCCCAGCGACUCCUCCUUCAUGCUUAUCAGCUGCCACAUUUCUAGGAAUCAACACAGAUUCUUUGGAGAAAAAAAGAAGGACUGGCACUUUUUCUUAAGGACUCACAAUUCCAUACAAAGGUGGAUCCAAGCACUGUGAGGGGUUUAAUGCUCACAAUUUGGAAGGCUCUCUUUGAAAAAACAGAGGCUAAAUGAUGAAUACAAAAUUAGGUAUAAAUCCUUGGAAGGGGAGUAGAAGUGAGGUACCCAGAGUGUAGGCUUUAUUAGCGUUUAGAAAAUCCAAUUCUGAUUUCACAGUAUCAGAGACAAUCUUGUAAGUUAUGGCAUAGUCUAUAUCUGCAUCUGUCUGUCACCAUUAUCAGCAAACCCAAAUGGUUCCCAGUUGACAAAAAAAGAGACAUUCUCCCCCUGAAGGGGGUGGCUAAAGCUCUCAGUUUUCAUCUUGUCUCCCUAGGUUUAUGUUUCCUUCUGGAAUCUUCCUCUGAUGCUCCCAUUAACCCAGUAAAGGAGUUUGUAGGUUUCCUUAAAAAGAUUUCCUUCGAAGAGCCAUCCAAGUCCAUACACACGCACACGUCACACACACACACGUGUAAAGAUCAAUCCUGCAUUAUGCCGUUAUCAAGUUGGCCAUGAAGAGAGUGACAUCGCUGCCUCAUGGUGAUGGGUCUUCCAGUUGCCAGCUCUGGGCACCUGAUUUCUCUGGACACGACAGACGUAUGAUAUAUAAAAACUAUAGACUCAUGCUACAUUGAAACAAAUUUAACUGGAUUUAUCCAAACACAGGAACCACAGACACCAGAUUUUAUAAAAGUUCACAUAAGAGUUAUUCACUAUAAUAGGUUUCCAAAUGGAAUUAAAAACGACCAAGACUGGAGUAAUUAAUCUAAAUUUGGUCAAAAAAAAAAAAAAAAAAAGAAAAAAAAAAAGAAAAACAAUAUUGCUCCAGGCCCUGCAGGGCAGAAAGGGCUCCAAACCGUGUGGGGUACGGUCGUGUGGUCACCCUACUACCCAACCAGCCAUGGAAGUGAGCCCACACGGUGCUGACCCCAGAGCUAACAGGCAUGUGGCUAGAGGUCAGUGAGAGGGUUGAGAAAUUGAUCUUUUUAAUUUUUAACUUUAAUUUUUUGAGACGUGGUCUCACUCUGCCCCUUCUCACAGGCUGGAGUGCAGUGGUGCAAUCUGGGUUCAUUGCAGCCUUGACCUCCCGAGCUCAAGCAAUCCUCCUGCCUCAGCCUCCCAAGUAGCUGGGACUACAGCCGCGUGCCACCACGCCUGGCUAAUUUUUGUAUUUUCCUAGAGACGGGGUUUUACCAUGUUGCCCAAGCUGGUCUCCAACUCUUAGGCUCAAGCGAUCCUCUGCCCUCAGGCUCCCGAGCAGCGGGGACGACAGGUGUGUACCACAAUAUCCAGCUAAUUUGUUUGUUCGUUUGUUUGUUUUGAGAUUUGGCGGUGGGGGGGAUGGGAAGGGAGGUCUCAUAAUGUUGCCCAGGCUGGUCUCGAACUCCAGGCUCAAGUGAUUCCACAGGCGCGCCCACCACGCCCCGCCCGAGAAACCCCAUCUUGAGUAGGCCCGAAGCCGGGCUGUGGAAAGCCAGGCGCGCUAAGCCCCUGGGCCUCUCCGGAGCCGCCCUCGCCCCGCGCCUGCGGUGCCACACGCAUCCGCCGCUCUGCACGCACAAGACCUCCUGGCAGGCGGAGGAGAAACUGAGGCUCCUAUCAGAUGCCCUUGCUUUUCGACUUACUUAGCACCCGUGAAACGGAGGCCUACGGAGCGGCGGCCAUGGCCUGGGCGCGUUCUGGCCACCGGGCCACACUGGAUGCCGGCCUGGCCUCGCCAGAGGGCGGAUGUGCGCUGCAGGGAGGCGGGAGGCCCUUGUGCUUCAGCCCUUGGUGAGCUGGAAAGGGAGGACAUUCUAGCUCUGAAGCAUUUACUGGGGCCCCUGCUCAAGGACCUCCCGGCUCCCUCCUGCAGAAAUAUCAGUAUCACCGCCCCACCUGCCUCUGCAAACAGUGCACCCCCGCAGCUCCCCAGCUUGGAGGCCCUGCCCAGCGGGGCUGGGAUCCUCAGCGCCCCCAGGCCUCAGCUCAUUCCUUCAGGCUUCGGCUUCUGCUGUUUUCUCACUUCCUUCGCAAUACCCUUUCUCAUUUUGCGUUAAUUUCCUGCAUGUCACAGUAAGGGCCUUACUCACAUGAUAAUCCCUAUUUAAAAUAGUUCUUACGUAGUUCUUAUUUUGUCGAGGGUACUGUGCACAGUACUUUAACACAUGAUCGCAUUUAACUCUCACAAAACUGGAAGAGGUCGCUGUUGUCAUUGUGCUCAGAUCAGUUAAGUAAUCCACCCAAGGGCACACAGCAGGUAAUAGCAGAAUAUCUUAUUCCACUGCCUGUGUUUUUAACCACUAUGCAUACUACCACCUUUUAUUAUGUAUAUAUUAAAUCAUCUUCUAUUCUUUAGUUUUCUACUGGGUUUCUUUAAAACCACUAUUUUAGAAAAACCACUCUUCGCUGGAUAAAGUACAGGGGAUCUCAUACAAGGGUACCUUGUUAAAGCAACACAAGACACUCAUGAGGAUUCCCACAGGUCUGUAAAGCUCAGUAACUUCUGUGGUCCUUCCACGAUUCACAAAUACAUUGCAAAGAUGCCAAGUGUAAAUUCAGUUCAUGGGAUAAGGCUUAAUGUCCUGUUGUUGGGUAAGAUUCACUGGUGAGGACUGGAACUGCUUUAUAGGAGACGAAACUCUAGGUUUGAGCUGAAGCCUGAGAGAAUUACAGAGAAGUGCUUGAACCAAGAAUGAAGAUACAGAAUUUCUGGAGCAUGUGUUGAUAGCAAGAGUAAAACAGGGAUUGUAGGCACUGUGAUUUUUAAGUAGGUGAUUUAGAUAACACUGAAGAAACACAAAAGCGACAACAAUCUCUCUUCACUUCAACUUCCUCAUGGGUAAACAUGUUGGACUAGCAUACAGCUAAGUCCCCAUGAUUCCACAUAUUUACUUUUUAAAGGGUUCUAAAAACUUCAUGGUGAAUUCCAGGGCUGCUGUUGUGAUUGUUACUUCAAUGUUUUACAUGGAAAAGUUUCAAACUUAUAAAAAUAGAGAGAAUGAAUCUCCAGGUACCCAUUACUCAGGUUCCACAUUUAUCAACACAUGGCCAAUUUCUUUUCAUCCAUAUCUCAUCCACUUUUACACUGCUUUUAUUAUUUUGAAACAAAUAUUUUAUUUAUAAGGCAGCAUAUCAUGUUAUUUCAACAUUAUUUCUAAAACAUAAAGACUUUUAAAAAAUAGCCGUAAUACCAUUAUCUCAACUAAAAAAUACAUAAACACAUAGAAAAGGAUUCUGCGAAGUCAUUAAAUAUUUAGCCAGCCAGUGAAGCUUCUUAAGGUAUAAUUAAACAUUUGUUCAGAGCUAGGCUAGGAUUCUGAUAGGGAUCAAAAUACGCCACCCCCAAUUAUGUGACACUGGCAUAUUGAUUAUUUUGAGCUGAAGGCAACUGAGAAACAACAGAUAUAAGAAGAGCUGUCUGCUCUCCCCCUUUCUGCCUAAAAAAGAGCAUAAAUAUCCCCCACCCUGUACUAGGAUAAGAGUGACCUUUAUCGCAGAGACAGAGAGCUGUCACCAAGAUGAGUCUGCAUAAGCAAACCUUACUAAAAUAGCCCUUUCUCACAAUUAUAUCAACCCUAGGAGCCCAAAUCCCCUUUCAUUUGUAGUCACUUCUUCCACAAUUUCUCACCCUUUGUUAAAAUGGUAUAUAAGCUCCCAACUCUAACUUUUUUUUUUAUAAGUUCCACUUCUUUUCUGUGACGCCCCUGUGCAUAUAAAAUUAAAAACAUUAAUAAAAUUUGUAUGUCUUUUCUCUUGUUGUCUGUUGUCAUUUUAAUUCACAGGCUCUAGUUUUUUUCCUUCCCUAUAGAUCUCAUACAUUUUAAAAAACAACGGAGAAAUUAAUAUGAAGAAUAAUUUUAGUAUGUCUACAUUAGCAACUAAGAUAAAUAAUACUAAAUAAAAAUAAUUUCAGGGUUUUUUUUGUGUGUAUGUGUCUGAAAAGAGUAAUUCACAGUAAAAUGUAACCUGUUUUUGACAUCUGAGGGUAUAUAAAAACUGAAAGCAUAAAAAGAAAAUUACUAAGUUAAAUUUCUUAAUUUUUUCUGUAUUACUGAAUAUGAGAAUUGCCAUGUGAUCUUCAUUAUGUUCAGCAACUGAUAUAUGUGAAUAUUUGUUAUUUAUAUUCAAAGGGAUUUCAGUUAUAUAAAAUAAAAAUAAUGAUACCAAGUUUAAACCUAUUUUUUAAAAGCAAGGCUUUAAAAUUUU